UACGUAUGGAGCAAGCGUUAUCCGGAUUUACUGGGUGUAAAGGGUGCGUAGGUGGCAGUGUAAGUCAGAUGUGAAAGGCCGGGGCUCAACCCCGGAGCUGCAUUUGAAACUGCUCGGCUAGAGUACAGGAGAGGCAGGCGGAAUUCCUAGUGUAGCGGUGAAAUGCGUAGAUAUUAGGAGGAACACCAGUGGCGAAGGCGGCCUGCUGGACUGUUACUGACACUGAGGCACGAAAGCGUGGGGAGCAAACAGG
rnacentral:rRNA from 1 species